AUGGCAGCAGCUACUCUUCCUGGGGUUUAUUAUGGAUCCCCAUUAGUUCCUGUCAAGGCAGCAGCUACUCUUCCUGGGGUUUAUUAUGGAUCCCCAUUAGUUCCUGCCAAGGCAGCAGCUACUCUUCCUGGGGUUUAUUAUGGAUCCCCAUUAGUUCCUGGCAAGGCAGCAGCUACUCUUCCUGGGGUUUAUUAUGGAUCCCCACUAGUUCCUGCCAAGGCAUCAGCUACUCUUCCUGGGGUUUAUUAUGGAUCUCCAUUAGUUCCUGCCAAGGCAGCAGCUACUCUUCCUGGGGUUUAUUAUGGAUCCCCAUUAGUUCCUGUCAAGGCAGCAGCUACUCUUCCUGGGGUUUAUUAUGGAUCCCCAUCAGUUCCUGCCAAGGCAGCAGCUACUCUUCCUGGGGUUUAUUACGGAUCCCCAUCAGUUCCUGCCAAGGCAGCAGCUACUCUUCCUGGGGUUUAUUAUGGAUCCCCAUUAGUUCCUGUUAAGGCAGCAGCUACUCUUCCUGGGGUUUAUUAUGGAUCCCCAUUAGUUCCUGCCAAGGCAGUAGCUACUCUUCCUGGGGUUUAUUAUGGAUUCCCAUUAGUUCCUGCCAAGGCAGUAGCUACUCUUCCUGGGGUUUAUUAUGGAUUCCCAUUAGUUCCUGCCAUGGCAGCAGCUACUCUUCCUGGGGUUUAUUAUAGAUCCCCAUUAGUUCCUGUCAAGGCAGCAGCUACUCUACCUGGGGUUUAUUAUGGAUCCCCAUUAGUUCCUGCCAAGGCAGUAGCUACUCUUCCUGGGGUUUAUUAUGGAUUCCCAUUAGUUCCUGCCAAGGCAGUAGCUACUCUUCCUGGGGUUUAUUAUGGAUUCCCAUUAGUUCCUGCCAAGGCAGCAGCUACUCUUCCUGGGGUUUAUUAUGGAUUCCCAUUAGUUCCUGCCAAGGCAGCAGCUACUCUUCCUGAGGUUUAUUAUGGAUCCCAAUCAGUUACUGCCAAGGUAGUAGCUACUCUUCCUGGGGUUUAUUAUGGAUUCCCAUUAGUUCCUGCCAAGGCAGUAGCUACUCUUCCUGGGGUUUUUUAUGGAUUCCCAUUAGUUCCUGUCAAGGCAGCAGCUACUCUUCCUGGGGUUUAUUAUGGAUCCCCAUUAGUUCCUGCCAAGGCAGGAGCUACUCUUCCUGGGGUUUAUUAUGGAUUCCCAUUAGUUCCUGCCAAGGCAGCAGCUACUCUUCCUGAGGUUUAUUAUGGAUCCCAAUCAGUUACUGCCAAGGUAGUAGCUACUCUUCCUGGGGUUUAUUAUGGAUCCCCAUUAGUUCCUGUUAAGGCAGCAGCUACUCUUCCUGGGGUUUAUUAUGGAUUCCCAUUAGUUCCUGCCAAGGCAGUAGCUACUCUUCCUGGGGUUUAUUAUGGAUUCUCAUUAGUUCCAGCCAAGGCAGCAGCUACUCUUCCUGGGGUUUAUUAUGGAUUCCCAUUAGUUCCUGCCAAGGCAGCAGCUACUCUUCCUGAGGUUUAUUAUGGAUCCCCAUUAGUUCCUGCCAAGGCAGCAACUACUCUUCCUGAGGUUUAUUAUGGAUUCCCAUUAGUUCCUGCCAAGGCAGUAGCUACUCUUCCUGGGGUUUUUUAUGGAUUCCCAUUAGUUCCUGUCAAGGCAGCAGCUACUCUUCCUGGGGUUUAUUAUGGAUCCCCAUUAGUUCCUGCCAAGGCAGGAGCUACUCUUCCUGGGGUUUAUUAUGGAUUCCCAUUAGUUCCUGCCAAGGCAGCAGCUACUCUUCCUGGGGUUUAUUAUGGAUUGCCAUUAGUUCCUGCCAUGGCAGCAGCUACUCUUCCUGAGGUUUAUUAUGGAUCCCCAUUAGUUCCUACCAAGGCAGCAACUACUCUUCCUGAGGUUUAUUAUGGAUUCCCAUUAGUUCCUGCCAAGGCAGUAGCUACUCUUCCUGGGGUUUAUUAUGGAUUCCCAUUAGUUCCUGCCAAGGCAGCAACUACUCUUCCUGAGGUUUAUUAUGGAUCCCCAAUAGUUUCUGCCAAGGCAGCAGCUACUCUUCCUGGGGUUUAUUAUGGAUUCCCAUUAGUUCCUGCCAAGGCAGCAGCUACUCUUCCUGAGGUUUAUUAUGGAUCCCAAUCAGUUACUGCCAAGGUAGUAGCUACUCUUCCUGGGGUUUAUUAUGGAUCCCCAUUAGUUCCUGUUAAGGCAGCAGCUACUCUUCCUGGGGUUUAUUAUGGAUUCCCAUUAGUUCCUGCCAAGGCAGUAGCUACUCUUCCUGGGGUUUAUUAUGGAUUCUCAUUAGUUCCAGCCAAGGCAGCAGCUACUCUUCCUGGGGUUUAUUAUGGAUUCCCAUUAGUUCCUGCCAAGGCAGCAGCUACUCUUCCUGAGGUUUAUUAUGGAUCCCCAUUAGUUCCUGCCAAGGCAGCAACUACUCUUCCUGAGGUUUAUUAUGGAUUCCCAUUAGUUCCUGCCAAGGCAGUAGCUACUCUUCCUGGGGUUUAUUAUGGAUUCCAAUUAGUUCCUGUCAAGGCAGCAGCUACUCUUCCUGGGGUUUAUUAUGGAUCCCCAUUAGUUCCUGCCAAGGCAGGAGCUACUCUUCCUGGGGUUUAUUAUGGAUUCCCAUUAGUUCCUGCCAAGGCAGCAGCUACUCUUCCUGGGGUUUAUUAUGGAUUGCCAUUAGUUCCUGCCAUGGCAGCAGCUACUCUUCCUGAGGUUUAUUAUGGAUCCCCAUUAGUUCCUGCCAAGGCAGCAACUACUCUUCCUGAGGUUUAUUAUGGAUCCCCAUUAGUUCCUGCCAAGGCAGCAGCUACUCUUCCUGGGGUUUAUUAUGGAUUCCCAUUAGUUCCUGCCAAGGCAGCAACUACUCUUCCUGAGGUUUAUUAUGGAUCCCCAAUAGUUUCUGCCAAGGCAGCAGCUACUCUUCCUGAGGUUCAUUAUGGAUCCCCAUUAGUUCCUGCCAAGGCAGCAGCUACUCUUCCUGAG
ensembl:lncRNA